AUACAGAGAUCUCAACCGUUAUUCGGAAUUACUGGGCGUAAAGGGUGCGUAGGCGGUUUAUCAAGUCAGGGGUGAAAGGCUACGGCUCAACCGUAGUGAGCCUCUGAAACUGGUGAACUUGAGUGUAGGAGAGGAAAGUGGAAUUCCCAGUGUAGCGGUGAAAUGCGUAGAUAUUAGGAGGAACACCGGUGGCGAAGGCGGCUACCUGGACCGAUAUUGACGCUGAGACGCGAAAGCGUGGGGAGC
rnacentral:rRNA from 1 species